GAUUAACGCUGGCGGCAUGCCUAAUACAUGCAAGUCGAACAAAAGUAGUUUACUACCUAGUGGCGAACGGGUGAGUAACACGUAUCUAACCUACCAUUUAGUGGGGAAUAACUGUUGGAAACGACAGCUAAUACCGCAUAUGUUAUUAAUAUGAUUUAUUAAUAAUGAAAGGAGCUUUCAAGCUUCGCUAAUUGAUGGGGAUGCGGCGCAUUAGCUAGUUGGUAAGGUAAUGGCUUACCAAGGCAAUGAUGCGUAGCCGAUCUGAGAGGAUGAACGGCCACAUUGGGACUGAGACACGGCCCAAACUUCUACGGAAGGCAGCAGUAGGGAAUUUUUCACAAUGGGCGAAAGCCUGAUGGAGCUGUGCCGCGGACUGAUGAAGGUCUUCGGAUUGUGUAGGUCUGUUU
rnacentral:rRNA from 1 species